UACGUAGGGCGCAAGCGUUAUCCGGAAUUAUUGGGCGUAAAGAGCUCGUAGGCGGUUUUGUCGCGUCUGCCGUGAAAGUCCGGGGCUCAACUCCGGAUCUGCGGUGGGUACGGGGCAGACUAGAGUGAUGUAGGGGGAGACUGGAAUUCCUGGUGUAGCGGUGAAAUGCGCAGAUAUCAGGAGGAACACCGAUGGCGAAGGCAGGUCUCUGGGCAUUAACUGACGCUGAGGAGCGAAAGCAUGGGGGAGCGAACGGGG
rnacentral:rRNA from 1 species